rnacentral:rRNA from 1 species
GCAAGUCGAACGAAGUAGCAAUACUUAGUGGCAGACGGGUGAGUAACAUGUGGGUAUCUGCCCUUUGGCCUGGAAUAACACGAGGAAACUUGUGCUAAUACCGGAUAAGUCUUUACGGAGAAAGCUUUAUGCACCAUUGGAUGAGCCCGCACUUGAUUAGUUUGUUGGUAGGGUAAUGGCCUACCAAGACUGUGAUCAAUAGCUGAUUUGAGAGGAUGAUCAGCCACAUUGGGACCGAGACACGGCCCAAACUCCUACGGGAGGCAGCAGUGGGGAAUCUUGCACAAUGGAGGAAACUCUGAUGCAGCGAUGCCGCGUGAGUGAAGAAGGCCCUUGGGUUGUAAAGCUCUUUCGUCGGGGAAGAAAAUGACUGUACCCGAAUAAGAAGGUCCGGCUAACUUCGUGCCAGCAGCCGCGGUAAUACGAAGGGACCUAGCGUAGUUCGGAAUUACUGGGCUUAAAGAGUUCGUAGGUGGUUGAAAAAGUUGGUGGUGAAAUCCCAGAGCUUAACUCUGGAACUGCCAUCAAAACUUUUCAGCUAGAGUUUGAUAGAGGAAAGCAGAAUUUCUAGUGUAGAGGUGAAAUUCGUAGAUAUUAGAAAGAAUACCAAUUGCGAAAGCAGCUUUCUGGAUCAUUACUGACACUGAGGAACGAAAGCAUGGGUAGCGAAGAGGAUUAGAUACCCUCGUAGUCCAUGCCGUAAACGAUGUGUGUUAGACGUUGGAAAAUUAUUUUCAGUGUCGCAGCGAAAGCGAUAAA